GAUGAACGCUGGCGGCGUGCUUAACACAUGCAAGUCGAGCGAAGCGCUUAAGUUUGAUUCUUCGGAUGAAGACUUUUGUGACUGAGCGGCGGACGGGUGAGUAACGCGUGGGUAACCUGCCUCGUACAGGGGGAUAACAGUUAGAAAUGGCUGCUAAUACCGCAUAAGACCACAGGAUCGCAUGAUCCGGUGGUAAAAACUCCGGUGGUAUGAGAUGGACCCGCGUCUGAUUAGCUAGUUGGUGGGGUAACGGCUCACCAAGGCGACGAUCAGUAGCCGACCUGAGAGGGUGACCGGCCACAUUGGGACUGAGACACGGCCCAAACUCCUACGGGAGGCAGCAGUGGGGAAUAUUGCACAAUGGGCGAAAGCCUGAUGCAGCGACGCCGCGUGAAGGAUGAAGUAUUUCGGUAUGUAAACUUCUAUCAGCAGGGAAGAAAAUGACGG
rnacentral:rRNA from 1 species